GGUAAGAUGGCCGAGCGGUUAAGGCGUGUGACUCAAGCUGAUUGCAAAGCUUCCUUUCUCAUGGGGGAAACCCCGCCUGGGUUCAAGUCCCAGUCUUACCA
rfam:Moniliophthora perniciosa FA553 Contig16198, whole genome shotgun sequence.